rnacentral:rRNA from 1 species
AGAGUUGAUCAUGGCUCAGGAUGAACGCUAGCGGCAGGCUUAACACAUGCAAGGUCGAGGGGCAGCGGGAUGUAGCAAUACAUUGCCGGCGACCGGCGGAUGGGUGCGUAACGCGUAUGCAACCUACCUUAUACAGGGGAAUAACCUUUCGAAAGGGAGACUAACACCCCAUAGUAUUGAUUUAAGGCAUCUUAGAUUAAUUAAAUAUUUAUAGGUAUAAGAUGGGCAUGCGUAUGAUUAGCUAGUUGGUAAGGUAACGGCUUACCAAGGCGACGAUCAUUAGGGGUUCUGAGAGGAAGGUCCCCACACUGGUACUGAGACACGGACCAGACUCCUACGGGAGGCAGCAGUGAGGAAUAUUGGUCAAUGGGCGCAAGCCUGAACCAGCCAUGCCGCGUGCAAGGAAGACGGCCUUAUGGGUUGUAAACUGCUUUUACAUAAGACUACCCGUAUAUUUGCGAAUAUACCUGAAUGUAUUAUGAGAAUAAGGAUCGGCUAACUCCGUGCCAGCAGCCGC